rnacentral:rRNA from 1 species
AAUAUUGGUCAAUGGGCGAAAUCCUGAUCUAGCCAUGCCGUGAGUGUGAAGAUGGUCUUCGGAUUGUAAAGCACUUUAAGUUUGGAGGAAGGGCAGUAAGCUAAUACCUUGCUGUUUUGAAGUUACCGAAUGAAAAUGUAACGGCUAACUUAGUGCCAGCAGCUGCGGUAAUACGAAGGGUGCAAGCGUUAACCGGAAUUACUGCGCAUAAAGCGCGCGUAGGUGGUUUGUUAAGUUGGAAGUGAAAGCCCCGGGCUCAAUCUGGGAACUGCUUUCAAAACUGGCAAGCUAGAGUAUGGCAGAGGGUGGUGGAAUUUCCUGUGUAGCGGUGAAAUGCGUAGAUAUAGGAAGGAACACCAGUGGCGAAGGCGACCACCUGGGCUAAUACUGACACUGAGGUGCGAAAGCGUGGGGAGCAAACA